rnacentral:rRNA from 1 species
AUUUCCGUAGGUGAACCUGCGGAGGGAUCAUUACCGAGUUAUACAACUCAUCAACCCUGUGAACAUACCUAAAACGUUGCCUCGGCGGGAACAGACGGCCCCGUAACACGGGCCGCCCCCGCCAGAGGACCCCCUAACUCUGUUUCUAUAAUGUUUCUUCUGAGUAAACAAGCAAAUAAAUUAAAACUUUCAACAACGGAUCUCUUGGCUCUGGCAUCGAUGAAGAACGCAGCGAAAUGCGAUAAGUAAUGUGAAUUGCAGAAUUCAGUGAAUCAUCGAAUCUUUGAACGCACAUUGCGCCCGCCAGUAUUCUGGCGGGCAUGCCUGUUCGAGCGUCAUUACAACCCUCAGGCCCCCGGGCCUGGCGUUGGGGAUCGGCGGAAGCCCCCUGCGGGCACAACGCCGUCCCCCAAAUACAGUGGCGGUCCCGCCGCAGCUUCCAUUGCGUAGUAGCUAACACCUCGCAACUGGAGAGCGGCGCGGCCACGCCGUAAAACACCCAACUUCUGAAUGUUGACCUCGAAUCAGGUAGGAAUACCCGCUGAACUUAAGCAUUUCAAUAAGCGGAG